AUUGAACGCUGGCGGCAGGCCUAAUACAUGCAAGUCGAGCGGAGAGGCGGACGGGGGAGGAAGGCCUGGGGAGCAGCAUGGUGGUGGGGGACAACGUCGGGCAACGGGAGCUAUGAACGCAGACGAGCAGAGGAGCCUAGGUCGUAUUAGCUAGUUGGUGGGGUAACGGCUUACCAAGGUGACGAUCCGUAACUGGUCUGAGAGGAUGAUCAGUCACACUGGAACUGAGCCACGGUCCAGACUCCUACGGGAGGCAGCAGUGGGGAAUAUUGGGCAAUGGGCGAAAGCCUGAUCCAGCCAUGCCGCGUGUGUGAAGAAGGUUUUCGGAUUGUAAAGCACUUUUGUUUGAGAGGCGUUACCAACCGAAAAAGCACCGGCUAACUUCGUGCCAGCCGCCGCGGUAAUAC
rnacentral:rRNA from 1 species